UUUAUCAUAAAAGCAAUAUUUUAGUUAUGAUCGUAUUCCAUUUCAUGGAUUAAUUUAUCAUAAAAGCAAGUGACAUAAUUUCAAAAGUUUAUGUAAAAUUUUUCAAAUGUAUAAAUAUAGUAUGUUAUAUAUAUAAAAUAAAAGAAUGAGAAGAGAUAUUUUCCUUUCAAAGUUAAGUGUUAGGUUGGAGAACCGGAAUCAUAAGCUAUAAGUAUAAAGUGAGUAGAAGAAAAGAAAUAAAAGAAGAAGAAAUAAUGAAGAUCUUUGGCAAAUCAGUGCAUCCAAGCCAAAUUAUACUUUUCGCCUCUGGGUUACUGUUCUUGGCAUCAACAACUUAUGAUGUUCAUAGAUCAAUCAAGAACAAUCAAACACCACCUUCCGAGGAACAGCUCAAGGCUCUUGAAGAAUACAUCAAAUCGGUUCGUCGUUCACCUUAAUAUCCGUGGCACAUGUUACACCACGUCAUUCCUAUCUCCACACAACAACUAUUCCUCCUUAAAUAUAAUGUCAUAGUUGCAUAAAUAAAAUUAUUUUUAUGUUUUUAAUAUGAAAUUUAAUUAUUUUGGUUUGAUUAA